rnacentral:rRNA from 1 species
GAUGAACGCUGGCGGCGUGCCUAAUACAUGCAAGUCGAGCGAACAGACGAGGAGCUUGCUCCUCUGACGUUAGUGGCGGACGGGUGAGUAACACGUGGAUAACCUACCUAUAAGACUGGGAUAACUUCGGGAAACCGGAGCUAAUACCGGAGAAUAUAUUGAACCGCAUGGUUCAAUAGUGAAAGACGGUUUUGCUGUCACUUAUAGAUGGAUCCGCGCCGCAUUAGCUAGUUGGUAAGGUAACGGCUUACCAAGGCAACGAUGCGUAGCCGACCUGAGAGGGUGAUCGGCCACACUGGAACUGGGACACGGUCCAGACUCCUACGGGAGGCAGCAGUAGGGAAUCUUCCGCAGUGGGCGAAAGCCUGACGGAGCAACGCCGCGUGAGUGAUGAAGGUCUUCGGAUCGUAAAGCUCUGUUAUUAGGGAAGAACAAAUGUGUAAGUAACUAUGCACGUCUUGACGGUACCUAAUCAGAAAGCCACGGCUAACUACGUG